rnacentral:rRNA from 1 species
UACAGAGGUCUCAAGCGUUGUUCGGAUUCAUUGGGCGUAAGGGGUGCGUAGGCGGCGCGGUAGGUCGGGUGUGAAAUCUCGGAGCUUAACUCCGAAACUGCAUUCGAUACUGCCGUGCUUGAGGACUGGAGAGGAGACUGGAAUUUACGGUGUAGCGGUGAAAUGCGUAGAUAUCGUAAGGAAGACCAGUGGCGAAGGCGGGUCUCUGGACAGUUCCUGACGCUGAGGCACGAAGGUCAGGGGAGCAAACGGG